GAUGUUGUGGUCUAGUGGAUAAGUCACCCGACUGCAGAUCGAAAGGUACAGGGUUCAAGUCCUGCCGCAUCA
rnacentral:tRNA from 1 species